rnacentral:lncRNA from 1 species
CGUAAAACUCUCGCUCUUCCUUUUGCUUCUCUCUCCAGAUGGAAAGCUCCUCAUAGCGGUCCUUCAUUGCUUGGUUGUGCAACUUCAUCGCUUCUUUUAACUCAUUGUUUUCAGUGAUCAGCUCUUUCAUCUGCUGUACCAUCUCUUCGGGUGUGUAGGUACUGAGGGUGGGGGGAGCCAUGCUGUCCAUUCCGUUCUCCAUUUUACUCCUGCAAUGCUCUCCAUUUUCAGCAGGACGGAUCUGCGGCUUGCUGGACAUCUCUGCAGUGACUGCCCGCUCACGGCGCGCCCAUGGCAGCGGCGGGCCCGGCUCAGCUGACCGCCG